rnacentral:misc_RNA from 1 species
AGUCAGCUCUGACACACUAGAAUCGGUAAAUCUUGAAAAGGAUCGAAUAGAAAGAAGCUUUCAGGGGACAGAUUUUACGAAAGGAUGAUGACAACGUUGAAACACGUUACCACCUUAGUCCUCGUGCUUGGCCUCUUUUGUGUCAGAGUUAGUCGUAGUAUAGAUUCUGCUGCACGGCAUGCACAUGAACGGAAUAAUUCAAGCCCAGAGACGCCCCGCGCUCCAUUACAAAGACAUCACACAUACACAAACAGGAAACGUCAGGACAGGAGCAGAUACACCGAUGUGCAAAGGACAGGUGGGGGAGGUAUGAACCAGAGCUCCCAGAUUGCAUACACCUCUAUUGUACCGUUGAUAGCUGUUCUCGGAAUCCUGACAGUUCUGAUAAUGGCUAUCAAGCAAAGAUCGUUAUUGGUAAAAGUGCAUAACAUUGUGCACCGUGUGGAGCAAGGGUCCCGAAUAUACAGCUCAUUGACAACUGCACGUCAGCUCAGUUGCCCCCACAGUUACACAGCUGUGCGUUUCACAGUUGCUGAUCCAGAUAUCACCGACUCAAGACCACAUAGUUAUGUUGAUAUGUCACAGCCUUUGCAACGGAUGUAGAUAAACUCCCCAUACAAGAGGAAGCAAGUUGGGUGCACACUUUGGAGAACCAAUAAGCACAGGCAUGGUGCUUAAAAACCAAGGAUUGUUAUCGGGGGAAUCUGAAACGAAACCACGAAUCUUGCAAACGAGCACUGGCCGGGUCACCAGUGCCCCAUUAACAAAGGUUCAGACGAUGUGUUCCUUUACACACUGAUCACACCGUCUGAACCCCCUUCUUAAUGGGGCAAAGAAGGUUCAGACGAUGUGUUCCUUUACAGACUGAUCACACCGUCUGAACCCCCUUCUUAAUGGGGCAAAGAAGGGUUCAGACGAUGUGUUCCUUUACAGACUGAUCACACCGUCUGAACCCCCUUCUUAAUGGGGCAAAGAAGGUUCAGACGAUGUGUUCCUUUACACACUGGUCACAUCGUCUAAACCUCAUUCUUAAUGGGGCAAAGAAGGUUCAGACGAUGUGUUCCCUUACACACUGAUCACACCGUCUGAACCCCCUUCUUUAUGGGGCAAAGAAGGGUCAGACGAUGUGUUCCUUUACACACUGGUCACAUCGUCUAAACCCCCUUCUUAAUGGGGCAAAGAAGGUUCAGACGAUGUGUUCCCUUACACACUGAUCACACCGUCUAAACCUCCUUAUUAAUGGGGCAAAGAAGGUUCAGACGAUGUGUUCCCUUACACACUGAUCACACCGUCUGAACCCCCUUCAUAAUGGGCCCGGGGGCACAGAAGGUUCAGACGAUGUGUUCCCUUACACACUGGUCACAUCGUCUGAACCUCCUUCAUAAUGGGCCCGGGGGCAAAGAAGGUUCAGACGAUGUGUUCCUUUACACACUGAUCAGACCGUCUGAACCCCCUUCUUAAUUGGGCAAAGAAGGUUCAGACGAUGUGUUCCUUUACACACUGGUCACAUCGUCUAAACCCCCUUCUUAAUGGGGCAAAGAAGGUUCAGACGAUGUGUUCCUUUACAGACUGAUCACACCGUCUGAACCCCCUUCUUAAUUGGGCAAAGAAGGUUCAGACGAUGUGUUCCUUUACACACUGGUCACAUCGUCUAAACCCCCUUCUUAAUGGGGGCAAAGAAGGGUCAGACGAUGUGUUCCUUUACACACUGGUCACAUCGUCUAAACCCCCUUCUUAAUGGGGGCAAAGAAGGGUCAGACGAUGUGUUCCUUUACACACUGAUCACACCGUCUGAACCCCCGUCUUAAUUGGGCAAAGAAGGGUCAGACGAUGUGUUCCUUUACACACUGAUCACACCGUCUGAACCCCCGUCUUAAUGGGGGCAAAGAAGGGUCAGACGAUGUGUUCCUUUACACACUGGUCACAUCGUCUAAACCUCCUUCAUAAUGGGCCCGGGGGCAAAGAAGGGUCAGACGAUGUGUUCCUUUACACACUGGGCACAUCGUCUAAACCUCCUUCAUAGUGGGCCCGGGGGCAAAGAAGGGUCAGACGACGUGUUCCUUUACAGACUGACCACAUCGUCUAAACCUCCUUCUUAAUGGGCGCAAAGAAGGUUCAGACGAUGUGUUCCUUUACACACAGAUCACAUCGUCUAAACCUCCUAAAUGGGGACAAAACGAUAUAGAUUAUUUUGUCAUUUUAUUAUUUGAACUUUAUUUGGAAUGAUCAUUUGUAAUGCUUUAUGAAGUUAUCAUUGUACAAAAUUACUCAAAAUGUAUUAUAAUCUGUCA